rnacentral:rRNA from 1 species
GGACUACUCGGGUUUCUAAUCCUGUUUGAUCCCCACGCUUUCGUGCUUCAGUGUCAGUUGUAGCUUAGUAAGCUGCCUUCGCAAUCGGAGUUCUGCGUGAUAUCUAUGCAUUUCACCGCUACACCACGCAUUCCGCCUACCUCAUUUACACUCAAGUCUUACAGUUUCAACGGCAUUUUUACAGUUAAGCUGCAAACUUUCACCGCUGACUUAUAAAACCACCUACGCACCCUUUAAACCCAAUAAAUCCGGAUAACGCUCGGAUCCUCCGUAUUACCGCGGCUGCUGGCAC